UUUUGUCUUAAAAAAACUUUGGCCACAAUAGCACAACCGAUCUGUAUCUGGAUUAUUUUCGAAUGACACGAGUUCGGUGAGAUGUCAAAAGCCCGAUCUUAAAGAAAAAAAAGUAAGGGAAAACCACUUUGACAGUUGGCGGAGUACCUCAAAAAAUUGGUACCGCAUGUUAAAUCUAACUGGACAAACAUCACCCGAUUCACAUCUCUCAAUAUAUGUAAAUCUUAUAUACACUCAUCUAUGUAUUGGUGAGCAUUUCUAUAUUCCCCUUUUCUAUCUUCGAAUUCGAAAUUCAAUAUCGGGCACGUUCAUACGUACUAAAACUGAACACUCAUAUUAGUUUGUUAUAACCAGCAACCGAUAGAUGGCUUGUUAGGUUAAGGGUGUUAUUAUACUGUCCUAUUCAGAAUGGGAAGUUAAACUUUGGUUUGUACCUAAAACUACAAUUAUAACGCGUAACAUGAACAUCAACAAAAAGUACGUAUUGAACAAAUAAAAACAACUAAUUAGAGACACCUUCGGACCCGUUUCUGAGCCGAAGUCGGACUCAGCUCCGCCCGAGUCGGAGCGGAUUCGGACCGAUGUCGGACUUGUUUGCUUGAAGGGUAGGCACGAAUCGGCCCAUUCAACUCGAUCCUCAUGUAACCAUAUAAGGUGCUAAGUCUGAACAAUGGUUGGUCGGUGUCAGUCCAUAGACUAUAAUUUAUGUCACAUCAAAUUCGAACAUGGCAAAUUCAACAUGGCAGGUUCUAUCAACAAUUUCUAUUUGGAGUACUCAUCCAGGGAUUCGUCACAAGCAGGUUUCUUGACUCGAUUGGAGGCAGUUCCCCAGGCGUCCGCAACACCUUUAAUCGGUUC